rnacentral:tRNA from 1 species
GCCUGGGUGGCAAAGUCGGUUAAGCAUCUGAUUUUGGCUCAGGUCAUCAUCUCACAGUUCGUGAGUUCGAGCCUCACGUUGGGCU